rnacentral:rRNA from 1 species
UGGGGAAUUUUGUACAAUGGGGGAAACCCUGAUCCAGCCAUCCCGCGUGUGCGAUGAAGGCCUUCGGGUUGUAAAGCACUUUUGGCAGGAAAGAAACGUCAUGGGUUAAUACCCCGUGAAACUGACGGUACCUGCAGAAUAAGCACCGGCUAACUACGUGCCAGCAGCCGCGGUAAUACGUAGGGUGCAAGCGUUAAUCGGAAUUACUGGGCGUAAAGCGUGCGCAGGCGGUUCGGAAAGAAAGAUGUGAAAUCCCAGAGCUCAACUUUGGAACUGCAUUUUUCACUACCGGGCUAGAGUGUGUCAGAGGGAGGUGGAAUUCCGCGUGUAGCAGUGAAAUGCGUAGAUAUGCGGAGGAACACCGAUGGCGAAGGCAGCCUCCUGGGAUAACACUGACGCUCAUGCACGAAAGCGUGGGGAGCAAACAGG